AUAAGAUGUCCUGAGGCACAAGACGAAGUGAGGGGAGGCGACAAGAAAACGCGAUCAUGCCAACCAACCAUUUCUUCUGUUUAUGCUGAUCAGUAGGACGGAAUGGAAGGGACCCUGAGUAUAAGCGGCAUGGAAUUGGCGAGUGGCUGACUGAAGUGCUGCGCGACACCCUCCCUGCCAGCAUUUCUCAACCGGACUUCCCCGGAAACCUAGAGUGAGUAGUGAACAAAAUCUCUACAUGUUGAUUUCGUGUACCAUCGAAUGAUUCACUGGAGUACAGACGUUUGUACACUCUACGUCGCUUCUGUCUAUUUUUUUCUAAUUACAGACAUUAAUAUUUUUAAAAUUUAUCCUUUAUUGAUGUUAUCAAUUCUUUUAAAAAUGCAUGGUAAUGUUUAUUUCUUCUAGGUUAUAAAUAAAUCACGAUCAUGUCUUUUUUUGUUAAUAUCUCCGAAUGUACUUGAAAAGACUAUAUAUAUUGUUAGUUUAUUAAAAGCUUAUCUUUUUUCACUCAUCCGUUUUCACUCUUUUUCAUCACAUUAUCGCAAAAUUUCGUGGGAUUGUGUGUUUGCAUGAGUGUGUUUGUUUGUGGCAGUCUUUACUUUAGAUAUCGAUCAUUACUGGGAAAAGGCGUGUCCCCGAGGCUGAUGACAGACAACACUUGAUUUCUU